UACGUUGUAGAUGUCUAUGGGCUCCAUUAACCACUUAACACCAGGUGGGCUGUGAACUCGUCCACCCAUUUAAGCAAUUAAAAAAACCAGCGUGCGGGCCUGUGACACGUCCUACGGCAACUUUUUUUGCAGUUAACGAGUGGACGAACUCAUGGAUCACCUGGCACCGUGUGGUCACCGGAGGCCAUAGGCUAUAGACGUAGUCACAUUAAUACUAGAACGAACGUUGGAUGUGAGUUCGAAUUAUCAACCUAUCGUUUAUUUAUCGAAUAAUUUAUCAUAAUAGUAAUGUAUCGUUUAUUUAUCGAACGUCAAAAUGGAUAACAUAAAUGAUUCGCGCCAAAACCAUGCACGAUGACAGUACCUAUACCAAAGUAAUAACCUAACUCAAUAAAAAACGGAUCAUAUAAUUAACAAUUAAACGCAUAUUUUCUACGUUGCAUGUUUAAGCUUUGUUAAUCAAAUUAACGGAAUAUAAAAAUAUGCACGCAGAAAACAACGUGAAAACGAUACAGCCUUGAAAGGCUAUUUCAGCUUCUCCUUGACGUGUAGGUAAGCUCACGAGGCUCAAACCGGGAGUGUUGCUAAUACUGGCCCUAGCAAGAGCAGUGCUUUGCGGAAUCUACCACCGGAUUGAAAAGGCGAUCCACUGAGAAGAUCCGGCGAGAAACUCAACAGUGCAGUAACCGGAUUCCGGAGGGGCCAAUUGUCAUUUUAAUUGUUUUAAUUAUUCAACUGAUGAAAUCAGUAAUUAUGUGUUUAGGGCACACAAUCAUAUUCCCUACAGACAAUGAACAAAAUCAGAUAUAAUAUCAAAACAAUUUAGUCUAUUGCAACAAGAAAAACUGUGAAAAAAUAAAUUAAGAGUUAUCUGAAUGUGCAUUUCAUACAUUUAUAAAUUCAUAGACGUAAAGAAGAAAUUAACUAUUAACUAGCCAUGACUUGAGCAUGCAACUUGUUUCAUGAUUUGAUUCACUCUAGAUACUGUCCAUUUGAUUGACAUAAAAAUUGCAAUAUUUCUUGAAGUAUAUGUAAUAAAAACAACAUUUCAUAAUGAAUAGUUUCUCCUCUUUCACAGUACUUGACCAACUUCAAGUAAAAAAUUAUAAUGUGAAAAUGUAAAUAAUAAUAGUUGUAAAUUUCUAAUGAUAUCUACUGUUUUGUUAGUAGUUAUGGGAGGUAGUUUUUAGUGAAAACUAAUCACACUUACUGUUGAUCAAUGCAUUAAAAUCACCCAUUUGCUAAAACUACACACACCAUUGCAUGUUGAUUUAGAAAUAAAAGCCUCCCUAGUUCUCUCUACAACAACUUAUAGUUUCAACUAAAACCAUUAACAGGUCAAUAAAUGCUUUGUUCGCAAUCAA